rnacentral:rRNA from 1 species
GAUGAACGCUGGCGGCGUGCCUAAUACAUGCAAGUCGAGCGAACAGACGAGGAGCUUGCUCCUCUGACGUUAGCGGCGGACGGGUGAGUAACACGUGGAUAACCUACCUAUAAGACUGGGAUAACUUCGGGAAACCGGAGCUAAUACCGGAUAAUAUAUUGAACCGCAUGGUUCAAUAGUGAAAGACGGUUUUGCUGUCACUUAUAGAUGGAUCCGCGCCGCAUUAGCUAGUUGGUAAGGUAACGGCUUACCAAGGCAACGAUGCGUAGCCGACCUGAGAGGGUGAUCGGACACACGGGAACUGAGACACGGUACAGAGGCCUACGGGAGGCAGCAGUAGGGAAUCUUCGGCAAUGGGCGAAAUCCUGAAAGAGCAACGCCGCGUGAGUGAUGAAGGUCUUCGGAUCGUAAAACUCUGUUAUUAGGGAAGAACAAAAGUGUAAGGAACUAUGCACGGCUUGAAGGGACGUAAUCAGAAAGGAACGGCUAACUACGUG